CAAAGCUGUGGUGACUUCAGAAAGACAUUGGUCCUGUCUCAUCUAGAAGGCUCUCUUUCACUUUGGACUUCCUGUGACCUCCAGCUCUUACAGUCUUUCCACCGUGCCUUUCUCAGUGUUCCCUUGAUCAGCAGGUGGUGUUGAUGUGCCAUUUGUGGCUGAGCACCCCACUUAGUGGCUGAGCCUCUACACUUUGACCAGUUCUGAGUUUCUACAUUAAAACCCCGUCCACUGCACCAAGAAACAUCUGCACAGAAUCGGCUUUAAAGAAUUAAAACAACUACACGCAAUUUGCAGAAGAAGCAAAAUCGCAUUACUUGGAUAAAGCAGUGGUACAGGCCAUGGAAGUGAUGGAGACGUCAAGAUCACAGAGAGUCGCAUGACUAUAAGAACCCAAGAGCUGGAGCCUGGGCUCUUCUACGAAGCCUGGGGGAAGAACAGUUCAUUGCUAAAGGAGGUCUCUUUAUGUAUGCCUGACUGUCCUGGAACUCACUACGUAAACCAGCCUGGCCUCAAACCCACUGUGAUCCUCCCAUCUCUGCCUAAUUUUAGGAUCCAAGGCAUGUGCCACCAUGUCAAGAACUCUUCUGUACUUUCAAC
rnacentral:lncRNA from 1 species